GCAGUGUAAAAAGGGUUGGCUGCCGUCAUGAUGGCGCCCCGGUAAGACGCGCCAAGGAAAGUGAAGACGAACUCCGGGGAAUUGGGAAGUAAAUUCAUGACAACAUCACCCUUCUUAAUACCGAGGUUGUGUAGGCCAGCGGCGACUCGACGGGCUGUUAGCUGAACGUCAUGGUAGGUGUAAACAUCCCCGGUGGCGCCGUUGAUCAAACAUGGGCGUGAGGCAAAUUUUGAGAGAUUUUGGAAAACAUAAUCGUGAAGUGGGAGAUGAUUGGGAAUGUGAAUAUCGGGAAGCUUUGAACGGAAAAUGAAUUCAUUAGUUUGGUUUGAUUCAAAGGCCAUUGUUGAGGUUUGAAGAAAGACAGAGUAGAAACAGAGAGUAAUUAAGAGAAAAGAAGUAGAGAUGGGUUUGGUUUUGAAGAUGGAUGAAGAAGAGAGGAGAUUUUAAAGCGAUUAGAAAAUAAUAGAAAAUUAGUGUUUGGUUGGUGAGAAAUAUAAAUUAGAAUUUCUUUUUAUAUGUAUAUAAACUUAAAAUUAAGUAAAAUUUUAUUUGGUGGUGUGAGGAAAUGGAUAUUGUUAUGUUAUGAGCUCUCACCAACUCCCAAAGUUUUAAUUGAGAGUGAAGAAAUUAAGAAGAAAUUAAAAUGCAUGGAGAUUGAAGAAGUCCCCUUACAUUCACCAAACUUUUCACUAAAAAAAUGAAUUUCAACCAACCAACCAACCAACAUGCUCUACCUAUAUUCAUUUCUAUUAGGGGUAUUAUAUUAAGAAAAGGUAGUCUCAAAAUAUGAAUGUUUCUCCCUAAAACCAAUGACUAUAGUUUAACGGGAAAAAAAUUAUCUUACCCGAGUUCAAUCUCAAAUGCUUUCGAUGAAUGGUAAGUACUCAUAUAGAGAAUAGGCUGUAAUUUGGGUUGAAGAAACUUACAACUUUAACAAUAAGAUUAAGUCCAUAUAAUACUCAAACUAGAGCUCUUAGGGUUAUUAGCAAUCUCAUCGUUUUUUUUUUUUUUGCUUGUUUUAGUUGCUUCUUCCUAAGAAUAUUGUCAAGAACCCACCAACAUACAAUUGUUCAAACAUGUUUAACUUUAGAGAAAAAUAGUUGAACCAUUUAAAAGAAAUGUGUAGCUUUGCUGUUAUCUUUUACAAAAACACAUAAAAUAUAAAAAAUAUAUUUCAAGUAAUUAUUCAAACAAUGUCUAUUUACACAUCAUAAGCAUUUUAAAUAUACAAAAAAGAAAAUCUAAACUAUUUACAAAUAUAACAAAAUCUAUUAAAUUUUCUACUAUUCAUCUAAGUUUUUUAUUAAUUUGAAUUUUAAAAAAUUAGAAUAGAAAAAGAUGUUCGUAACAAUGAACGAAGUAUAAAACUUCGAUGGGUUGCCAAAAAAAUUGGGAUUUGUAGAGAGAAUUGUGACAUUUUCAUUAAUUUCAAGGCUAUGGUGGACUUUUUUUUUUCAUUCUCUUUAUGAAAAAAAUAUUUCUUUUAAUUUAUGUGGAAUGAAGAAAAAAAAAUAUUAUUUGAGAUGGUAAUCUUGUUAAUUUUCACUAACCUAUUGAUAUAUUGCUUAGUCAAUUUUAUUCAUUAUUUUUAAACAAUUUGAAAGGUUGUUGCUAAUAUUAUUUUCAUUAUCAAAUAUAUUUUAAUUAAAGAAGAAAUUAUAGAUAUAGUAAUUAAAAUAAUUAAGUCAUAAACGGGUUAUAUUUAUAAUUUUUUAAAAUAUUGAUAUAUACUUAAUUAUUAUUUCUAAAACUAAUUAAAUUAUAACUUAAUUCUUAAUAUUCUAUUUGAAGAUAGAUGAAUUUUGCUCUAUUUUAUUUUUUAAAAAAGUGUUUUCGAAGUACACAACAAAAAUUCUAAAAUAAUAACAUAUGUAAUUAAUUUUAUUUUCUUUAGAACUUUUUUUUUAAUUUGAUUAAAAUAAAAUAAAUUAUUUAAGCUUACAACUAUUGAGAAUACAAAAUGUAUUUGUGGAUCAUAGUCUCCUUCACAUGUUUUAGUUUUUUAUAUGAAAAUUUAAAGACUUUUACUCUAAGAAUCAAAUUUAAAAUGCUUAAUAAAAAGUCAAAAUGCAUUGCCAACUUUUAAAAGUAUAAAAUAAAAAAAACUUUUUAAAUAGAGAAAAGGAAGUUGAAAGAUAUUUUUUCUCGUAACUAAACAUCUCACUACCAAUAAAAAUAAAAAUGUUUACCAUCAACCGAGUAUAUACUAUUUAUAAUUAUAUAAUAGAAAAUAAACAUGUAUUGAUUCCAACUUUUCAAUUAAAUAUAUUUCCCAUCAAUCUUGUAUCUCAAUUUUUUUUUAGUUGAGUGUACUCUUUAAUAAGUUUAGGUUUAGAUCAACAUUAAUAAUGUUUAAAUGUAUAGGUUAAGGUUGAGAGACUAUUCGAUCACAUAAAAUUUGUUUUCUUUGGGUGGUCAUUUACAAGGCCAAGUUCUAUAUGACCUAAGGCUAGCAAAAAAACACAACAGGAUUGAGUCUUCGCAUGUAUCUAUCCCGAUCUGAACAAAGAAUUUUCUCUUGAUUGAGAACUAGAGAAGUAUCCCCUUCCAACCCUAAUAAUAAUAAGUAUUUUACAACUAAUUAAUUUUAGGAGAGUUAUAAAUAUAACAAUUAUAAUCAAAAUAAUUAAGUAUAUAACAACGUUUUACAAAAAUUACAAAUAUAACAAAAUUUGUCAAAGUCUAUCGACGGUAGAAGUUUAUCACUUAUAGACCAUGUUGCAAAUAUUAAUUUAUCCACUGAUAGAAUAUAAGAAUUUAUCAACGAUUAAAAGUCUAUCACUAAUAUAUUUUGCUAUAUAUAUAUACUUAAUUAUUAUUCUUUUUAACUUACCAAAAAUUAUAAUUACUCUUAAUUAUAUAAAUAUUAUUUAAAGUACCUUCCCCUCCAACUUCGAAGCCCAAACUAAACUACCCAAAUCCAAGACUCCAAGCCCAAUUACACAAAGCCUAAUCUCUUUUCACCGUUUAAUUAAGCCUAAUUUAAAAGGUCAAAUUACAAAAAUCACUUAAAUGCACCAUAUCUUUCAUGAAUAACCUAAUAUGUUAUAAUAUUACAUAAAAAUCAGUCCAUAAUAUUCUACUUAAUUUCCAACUGCCUUAAAUAGUCUUUUUUUCGAACUUUUCAAAAACAUCACUAAAAGAAAAUUUCUAUAUCCUAAUUAAUCUAACACAAUUUUUAAUUUUGACUUAUAAUUUAAAAUCUUAAAAUAUCGUGAAUUUCAUUUAAUACAUUAUUAUAACAUUAAAUCUUUGUUUUCAAAUAUAUAUUACGUUUACUUCAAAUAUAUUUAUAGAAUAUUUAUUUCAAAUAUACUUAGAAUAAUUAUAAAUUUAAAGUCGCCAAAUAAUAUAUACCAUAAAUUAUAAUUUUGCUCUAAUUUCUACUAUGAAUUUAUUUCACUUACUUUAUCACAUGUAUCAACGUAUGUUUAGUUGUUUUGAAAAUAUAUACCUUAGAUUAUACAAUAAUAAUGCUAAGACAAAUUGUAAAAUCCAACGUUAAAUCAUGAUAAUUUAAUUUCCAGAUUGAAGAGACAAAUACCAAGUAAGUCAAAGAUUAAAAUACUACCAUAUAGUCUCAAAUAUUAAUUACAAGAUACAUUGUAUUAAUUGAUGAUUCAUUUUUAAAAAAUAUUUAAUUAAAUCGACCCUCUCCUGAAGAGUUAAAUUUGAUAUGAAUUAAAUUUUUUAAAAUACAAUUAAGCUAAUUAGUUUUCUAACUCUUUGUCAUAUAUCAUCGUAAAGUGUAAUUACAAAAUCAAUCAAGUUGUAUAUACCUUGUACGUGGUAAUACAUAACCCUUGAUUUUGAUUCUCAUUACUUGCUUCUAAACAAAACAAUUUGCUUAAUGAUAAUGUGGACUACUCUACAUGUUUAAAGAUAAAAGUAAUAGAACACGAUCCCACUGUGUAUAGCUUGACUUUGAACAAAAGCUCCUAAAACUUAUAGGGUCUCUAAACAAAGAUCAUAACCUAAUUAAUUAGAAUAAUGCAAUAGAAAGUUACAAUUAUCUUUUUAAAAAAUUAAUUUGGUGGAAGAUUAGUCCAAGUUGGAAACAAGUGUGCAGUGGUUCAAAGUUUUGCUGCUGCUUCUGCUUAAUUGCUAAGUCCCUUCUUAGCAUUUCAUUAUUUUAUUUUUUUGGUUUACCCUUCUUAAUUGCUAAAUGUUUUGUCAUUUUAAAAAAUUUUAGAUUUUAGUUUUGUUGUGUUGAAGUUUCUAACUUCUUUUUAUUAUUUUGGCUCAUUGGGUGAGUUUAAUUAGUACUGUAUCUUUAAUUUUAAAUAUUUUGAUCUGAAAAUACAUUUUAUUAAUUUAUACUUUUUCUAAAUGUUAUUUUAGUUAUAAUUCUUUUGUAUUAUCAAACACCAUUCGUUUAAUAAAUACAUAGCCUUCAUUCUUACUUACCAAUGGUUUAAUUCAUGUAUAUCAUUAUAUUAUAUAGGUGCAAAUAUAUAUAUUAUGUAUUCUUAACGUUAUAUUAUUCAAAAUCCUCUCUUAUUAUUACUAAUCAAGUGUGUGUCAAAAUGUAGAUACGUGACUAAAACCAAAUUAAAUAAGUACAACAAUGAAUACAAAGUAUCUAUACUCUUUAUUAUUAUUAAUCAAGUGUGUGUGUCAAAAUGUAGAUACGUGACUAAGACCAAAUUAAAUAAGCUAUUUUUAAAUAAGUAUAAGAAUGAAUACCAAUUAUUUAUAAGAUAGAGUGAAAUAUCACCAAAAAAAAGUUUAUUUUAAACUUAAGCAAUAUUUUUAAUUAUGUGUGAGAAAAAAUAGGAUAAAACGAAACAAAAAAAACUUUAGAAAGAAAUCAACAAAAACUAAUAAUUUAAGCUAAAGAGUGGACGGUUGGCUGACCUUAUAGAUGAAAGAAGUUAGAUAUAUUAAAAUUUUAUAUCUACAUGUUAGUUAUAUUACUCAUUAAGAACAUGCAUAUUAUUAAAUUUAUGAUUUUAAUACUUUAUUAACUAUUGAUUUUGGUUGAUAUAUUUCUUUAAUUUUACUUGAUUAGUUUUGUUGAGAUUAUUAGUUACUUUUUUUGAUCUAGAUCAGAUAUAGGAUUAACUCCAUUUUCUUUAUUUAGGUUAUGAUUACUAAAUCUAAUUUAUUGAUUAAAGUUGAAAGCAAUAAUUUAUCAAUACUUUUUUGACUAAAUUUUUACCCUGCCUAAAUUCACUUCACUAAUCUCCUCUCUAAUCCUUGCUUUUGCAUGUCAGUAUUUUCUAAACCUUCUUAGCAUUUUAAUUUUUUUCUUUCAAAUAAUUAAAUGAUAUAUAAAUAAAUUUGCUAAAAGCUUAUAUAAUUUCAUUUACAUUUAUCUUAAACUUUUAGGACGUACAUUCGUGAUUUAGGAUUUAGUAAUUGAAUGGUACUUAAUAUGUAUUUAAAUAAUCUUGGAUGUAAUACAUAUCAAAUAUGAAAUAGUAUAUAAUCUUAAUACUAUUGACAACAAAGAAAGAAAUUGGUUGUCUAAUUGUAAGCACCCGAAGCAAGUUUUGCUCUGAGUUCCUUUCUAAGGAUUUUGCCUGACGGAGCCUUUGGAAUAGCAUUAACGAAAAACACACGUUUUAGUCUUUUGUAGAAAACAACUUGUUUUGCUAUAAAUUGCUUUACUUCUUCCUCGCUUAUUGCACCGCCGUUCGCCUUCAUCACAAACGCCACCGGCACUUCUCCCGCCUCCACAUCCGGCAUACUAAAGAAUAAUAAGAAAAAUAAAAUUUGAUCAGAAAUGAAACUCCCACAAAGAUUUUUUUUAGCUAAAACAAAUAGUUAAAUUCAUUUGAACUCACCCAAUGACGGCAGCAUCAGAUAGUUUAGGAUGUGUGAUAAGAAGGGCCUCAAGCUCAGCAGGAGCCACUUGAAAUGCCUUGAAUUUUAUUAGUUCCUUAAGCCGAUCAACGAUGAAGAGCUCGUUGUCGUCGUCGACAAAGCCAAUGUCGCCGGUGUGAAGCCAUCCUUCUUUAUCAAUAGUCCUCUUUGUUGACUCCAAAUCAUUCAAAUAUCCUUUCAUGAUUUGAUCACCUCUAAUACAAAUUUCUCCGGAGGAAUUCGCCGGCAAUGAGGCGCCGGUUUCGGUGUCAACAAUCUUCAUCUCUGCAUUGCGGACCACAGUUCCGCAGGCUCCGGCUUUUACUUGGAACGGUUCUUUCGCAAAAGCUAAGCUCAUGGAUAGAACUGGACCGGCCUCGGUCAUUCCAUACCCUUGUCCGAGAAUCGCCGUUGGAAAUUUCUCCCUCACGGCAUCUUCCAACUCCUUCCCUAGUGGAGCUCCACCAGAUUUUAGAACCCUCACGGACGACACGUCGUACUUUUCAAAUUCUGGGGACUUAGCGAUGGCCAAAAAGAUUGGCGGCACGAUGGGCAUGAUCGAGAUUCUAUGUUUCUCAAUCAAUUGUAAAAGUGCAACGAUGUCAAAUUUUUGCAUAAUCAUAAUGGCAGCGCCGACUCGUAGUCCACACAGCAAAAUCGAAUUGAGUGAAUAGAUAUGGAAAAACGGCAGCACACAGAGGAUAACAUCGUUUCUGUGAUAAUAGAGAUUUGGAUUUUGGCCAUCCAUUUGUUGCGCUACACUUGUGAUUAACCCUUUAUGUGUCAGCAUAACUCCUUUCGGCAAACCGGUAGUGCCAGAGGAGUACGGUAAUGCCACCACGUCAUUAGAGGAAAAAUCCACCAACGGCGCAAGAGAUUCAUCAGCCCCACUCAAAACAGAAAAAUGCAAACAACCCUCUACAGCAAAAUCAACACAAACAAUUUGAACACCGUUUUCAGCCAAAUCCUUAACCCGAUCGUAAAAACAAGCCAUUGUCACUAUCAAUUUCGCAUUGGCAGCUUUGGCCUGUUUAGCAAUUUCCACAGCCGUGUAAAAAGGAUUGGCUGCUGUCAUGAUGGCGCCCCGGUAAGACGCGCCAAGGAAGGUGAAGACAAACUCCGGGGAAUUGGGAAGUAAAUUCAUGACAACAUCACCCUUCUUAAUACCAAGGUUGUGUAGGCCAGCGGCGACUCGACGGGCUGUUAGCUGAACGUCAUGGUAGGUGUAAACAUCCCCGGUGGCACCGUUGAUCAAACAGGGGCGUGAGGCGAAUUUGGAGAGAUUUUGGAAUACAUAGUCGUGGAGUGGAAGAUGAUUGGGAAUGUGAAUAUCGGGAAGCUUUGAACGGAAAAUGAAUUCAUUGGUUUCGUU
rnacentral:lncRNA from 1 species